CCUCCCAUGGCCCAGGUGGACUGUGAACCUUCUGGGACGAGGGCUGUAAUCACUUCAUCCUGGGAUGAGCUCAGCCUGGCAGGAGGCGCUCAAGAUGUGCUAAGUAACCCAAGUAAGUAGCCCCUAGACCCCCAAGACUCAGGAGUCCUGACCCCCAGCCAGAGGUGCACGGACCCAGCUGACACCGGCCAGCCAGAGCUGAUGUGCACAGACCCUUCUACCUCUGCACUCCGUGACGCCAGGGAGCCUGUUGUUAAACGCUCAGCAGCACGUCGCUGCUCCCAGCCUUCCAUCUGUCCUGCUCUCCAGGCCAGGAGCCCCUGUCAUGAGGUCCAGGGAGCCCUGGAGUCUGGAGAUAAAUCGUGACAAGACACAAGGCCGUGGAUGGGGCAUCACUGCUGCCCAAGCCACCCUGGGUCCCCAGCCCCGGACCUUCCCAUCUCCACACCAAGGCCCCUGUCCCAGACAAGAGCAUGGUCCCCAGCUCUACAUAACUCAGGAACUGAGAACCCCAGGUGUGGAGCCACACGGACUCGGGCAUGGCUCUGGGCAAGUCACUUUCACUGCCUGGGCUACAGUGACCUUGUCUGCAGCAAGGGAAUCAGCAAAGAGCAUGACCCUAAAGCCACACUUGUGCUGUUCACCUUCAAGUUCUGACCAGGGGACCCCAA